rnacentral:rRNA from 2 species
GAGUGGCGAACUGGUGAGUAACACGUGGGUAACCUGCCCCGAAGCGGGGGAUAACAUUUGGAAACAAGUGCUAAUACCGCAUAAUUAGUUGGAACCGCAUGGUUCCAACUUGAAAGAUGGCUCUGCUAUCACUUUGGGAUGGACCCGCGCCGUAUUAGUUAGUUGGUGAGAUAAAAGCCCACCAAGACGAUGAUACGUAGCCGACCUGAGAGGGUAAUGAGACACGGCCCAGACUCCUACGGGAGGCAGCAGUAGGGAAUCUUCCACAAUGGACGAAAGUCUGAUGGAGCAACGCCGCGUGAGUGAUGAAGGUUUUCGGAUCGUAAAACUCUGUUGUUAAAGAAGAACAAGUGUUAGAGUAACUGUUAACACUUUGACGGUAUUUAACCAGAAAGCCACGGCUAACUACGUGCCAGCAGCCGCGGUAAUACGUAGGUGGCAAGCGUUGUCCGGAUUUAUUGGGCGUAAAGCGAGCGCAGGCGGUUUUGUAAGUCUGCUGUGAAAGCCCUCAGCUCAACUGAGGAAGUGCAGUGGAAACUACAAAACUUGAGUACAGAAGAGGAAAGUGGAACUCCAUGUGUAGCGGUGAAAUGCGUAGAUAUAUGGAAGAACACCAGUGGCGAAGGCGGCUUUCUGGUCUGUUACUGACGCUGAGGCUCGAAAGCAUGGGUAGCGAACAGGAUUAGAUACCCUGGUAGUCCAUGCCGUAAACGAUGAAUACUAGGUGUUGGAGGGUAUCCGCCCUUCAGUGCCGCAGCUAACGCAUUAAGUAUUCCGCCUGGGGAGUACGACCGCAAGGUUGAAACUCAAAGGAAUUGACGGGGGCCCGCACAAGUGGUGGAGCAUGUGGUUUAAUUCGAUGCUACGCGAAGAACCUUACCAGCUCUUGACAUCUUCUGCCAACCCAAGAGAUUGGGCGUUCCCUUCGGGGACAGAAUGACAGGUGGUGCAUGGUUGUCGUCAGCUCGUGUCGUGAGAUGUUGGGUUAAGUCCCGCAACGAGCGCAACCCUUAUUAUUAGUUGCCAGCAUUUAGUUGGGCACUCUAGUGAGACUGCCGGUGAUAAACCGGAGGAAGGUGGGGACGACGUCAAAUCAUCAUGCCCCUUAUGAGCUGGGCUACACACGUGCUACAAUGGAUGGUACAACGAGUCGCGAAACCGCGAGGUCAAGCUAAUCUCUUAAAGCCAUUCUCAGUUCGGAUUGCAGGCUGCAACUCGCCUGCAUGAAGUUGGAAUCACUAGUAAUCGUGGAUCAGCAUGCCACGGUGAAUACGUUCCCGGGCCUUGUAACAGCACCGCCCGUCACACCAUGAGAGUUU